rnacentral:rRNA from 1 species
ACCUCGGAUCAGGUAGGAAUACCCGCUGAACUUAAGCAUAUCAAUAAGCGGAGGAAAAGAAACCAACAGGGAUUGCCUUAGUAACGGCGAGUGAAGCGGCAAUAGCUCAAAUUUGAAAUCUGGCGCUUGCGUCCGAGUUGUAAUUUGCAGAGGAUGAUUUUGGUUAGGUACCUUCCGAGUUCCUUGGAACAGGACGCCUUAGAGGGUGAGAGCCCCGUACGGUUGGAUGCCGAGCCUUUGUAAAUCUCCUUCGACGAGUCGAGUAGUUUGGGAAUGCUGCUCUAAAUGGGAGGUAAAUUUCUUCUAAAGCUAAAUACCGGCCAGAGACCGAUAGCGCACAAGUAGAGUGAUCGAAAGAUGAAAAGCACUUUGAAAAGAGGGUUAAAUAGCACGUGAAAUUGUUGAAAGGGAANGGAUUUAUGACCAGACUUUUUCUAGGAGGAUCAUNCCGGUGUUCUCACCGGUGCACUUCUUCUAGUCUAGGCCAGCAUCGACUUUCGGCGGUGGAUAAAAGCUUUGGGAAUGUGACUCCUUUCGGGGAGUGUUAUAGCCUAUUGUAUAAUACACUGCUGGGGGUCGAGGUAC